AGAGUUUGAUUCUGGCUCAGGACUAACGUUGGCGGCGUGCCUAAUACAUGCAAGUCGUACGGGAUUUUCCGGGGCAACCCGGGAAUUCCAGUGGCAAACGGGUGAGUAAUACAUGGGUAACUUUCCUUAAAGUUCGGGACAACCAUCCGAAAGGGUGGCUAAUACCGGAUGUGGACAUGAAACCGCAAGGUUUUAUGUUUAAAGGUGGCCUCUACUUGUAAGCUAUCGCUUUAAGAUAGGCCCAUGUCCAAUUAGCUUGUUGGUGAGGUAAUGGCUCACCAAAGCUACGAUUGGUAGCCGGCCUGAGAGGGUGUUCGGCCACACUGGGACUGCGACACGGCCUAGACUCCUACGGGAGGCAGCAGUAGGGAAUCUUCCGCAAUGGGCGAAAGCCUGACGGAGCGACGCCGCGUGAGGGAUGAAGGUCUUCGGAUCGUAAACCUCUUUCGUUAAGGAAUAAAUGUUGCAUGGUAAAUAAUCAUGCAGCUUGACGGUACUUAAGGAAGAAGCUUCGGCUAACUCUGUGCCAGCAGCCGCGGUAAUACAGAGGAAGCAAACGUUGUCCGGAUUCACUGGGCGUAAAGGGAUCGUAGGUGGCCAAUUAGGUCAGGUGUGAAAUCGUUCUGCUCAACAGGACAAUUGCAUUUGAUACUGUUUGGCUUGAGUGCAGAAGGGGAAAUUGGAAUUUCCGGUGUAGCGGUGAAAUGCGUAGAUAUCGGAAAGAACACCCGUGGCGAAGGCGGAUUUCUGGUCUGCAACUGACACUGAGGAUCGAAAGCCAGGGGAGCAAACGGGAUUAGAUACCCCGGUAGUCCUGGCUGUAAACUGUGCACACUAGGUGUAGGUGGUUCAUUCCAUCUGUGCCGACGCUAACGCAUUAAGUGUGCCACCUGGGAACUACGACCGCAAGGUUGAAACUCAAAGAAAUUGACGGGGGUCCGCACAAGCGGUGGAGCAUGUGGUUUAAUUCGACGCAACGCGAAGAACCUUACCUAGGCUUGACAUGCUGGUGCAAUCUCCCUGAAAGGGGAGCCCUCUAUCAGUAAUGAUAGGCACCAGCACAGGUGUUGCAUGGUUGUCGUCAGCUCGUGCCGUGAGGUGUUGGGUUAAGUCCUCUAACGAGCGCAACCCCUAUUGUUAGUUGCUAACGGGUAAUGCCGAGAACUCUAGCGAGACUGCCUGGGAUAACCAGGAGGAAGGCGGGGACGACGUCAAAUCAUCAUGGCCCUUAUGUCUAGGGAUACACACGUGCUACAAUGGCAGGUACAGCGAGCUGCAAAACCGCGAGGUUGAGCCAAUCUCUAAAAGCCUGUCUCAGUUCGGAUUGGAGUCUGCAAUUCGACUCCAUGAAGCUGGAAUCGCUAGUAAUCGUAGAUCAGCUACGCUACGGUGAAUACGUUCCCGGGCCUUGUACACACCGCCCGUCACACCACGAAAGUUAUUUGUACCAGAAGACGCCGAUCCAACCCGCAAGGGAGGUAGGCGGCCAAGGUAUGAAUAAUAAUUGGGGUGAAGUCGAAACAAGGUA
rnacentral:rRNA from 1 species